rnacentral:rRNA from 1 species
AUUGAACGCUGGCGGCAGGCCUAACACAUGCAAGUCGAGCGGUUGACGGGAGCUUGCUCCCUGAUUCAGCGGCGGACGGGUGAGUAAUGCCUAGGAAUCUGCCUACUAGUGGGGGACAACGUUUCGAAAGGAACGCUAAUACCGCAUACGUCCUACGGGAGAAAGCAGGGGACCUUCGGGCCUUGCGCUAAUAGAUGAGCCUAGUUCGGAUUAGCUUUUUGGUGAGGUAAUGGCUCACCAAGGCGACGAUCCGUAACUGGUCUGAGAGGAUGAUCAGUCACACUGGAACUGAGACACGGUCCAGACUCCUACGGGAGGCAGCAGUGGGGAAUAUUGGACAAUGGGCGAAAGCCUGAUCCAGCCAUGCCGCGUGUGUUAAGAAUGUCUUCGGAUUGUAAAGCACUUUAAGUUGGGAGGAAGGGUUGUAGAUUAAUACUCUGCAAUCUUGACGUUACCGACAGAAUAAGCACCGGCUAACUCUGUGCCAGCCGCCGCCGUAAUAC